ACCCCCACACACACCCCUCCCAGCUUUAUUUUAUUUAAAAUGAUGCCUGCAACAGUUGGGGGCUGCUGGCUCGCUCCCGUUACCCGGCGAGUCCCCCCCCGGGACACCUGGGACGACCCCGCCACAUCACGUUAGGCGCAGCGGAGUGCCGGGUUAAGACGUAAUCUCUCUCCCCGGCUUACGGAUCCCAGGAAUCCUCCCCCGCCAUCUCGCCAUGGCAACGGCAGCUACGGGAAAGACAGUCCCGCCUCUUACGCAAGAGGAGCGCGUCCAUCCCUGCCAAAAGGCCGACGGCCCCCACGGAUCCCCCCGCCAUCCGCGCAGCGUGGCCCCUGCUCCCCCUUACCCUGGCAAGAGUUUGAAGACGACUGCGGGAAAUAAAGGUCUCACCAUGCUCCUAUGCCUUGGCAUGUGAGCUGGACAACAGAGAUGAAGUUUGAAGCCCAAAUGCCACAACUGUCCUCCUAUGUCCCACUCAACUCUUCAAACAGGAAAGCAAACUCAAGAGGUAGGUUAAUGAUCUUCAUUAAAAAAAAAAACAACAAAACCACC